CUGAUACAGUUCAUUGUUAAUACAUGCAUAUGUUUAGUACAAAUAUCAAAAAAAUUGUAAGAAAGAAAUAAAUAUAGUUACAAUAGGGAAUUAAAACAAAAGUACUAUCUUCUCAUUAUCAGCUAGAAUCGCGCAUACAUAUAAGCAUUACUUCUCAGCUUUUGAGUGAAGAUGGAUACCUGAAAUUCAGAAAGAAAGGGAACCUAUGAGUAAAUUGAAGCAAUUAGCAAGCAACAACAGUCAAUCGAUCAGUAAACACCCAUAAUUCCAGAAGGCUUUUGAGAAUCAAAAUUUAAGAGGAAUAAAAAUAGCACUAGUGAUUUCUGAAUAAUUGUAUAUGAAACUAAUAUAUAUUUUUUGUAUUCUAAUUCACCACUAAGAUUUUAAAAGGAAAAAAAUUCUGCUCGAAAAUGUCCCCUUCAAAUGUUCAGAUUACCUCUUUUUAUAGUUCAAGCCUUAGGGCAACACUCAUUUUCUUGUUUUCCUUUUAGUCCCUUAUUCAAAUUUCAGUUUUACCUAGUCCUUAGUUUUCUUACUUGUGCCUCAAGUUUGAGCCUCAACUUAUGCCUAAGUCCCUAAUUAGAAUGUUCUAGGGGUUGUUACAAGAUUCUUUCAGGCUCAAAUACCCUCUAUACCGUUGUUUCCCUUCCUAACUAACCUAAGGUUUUUUUACCCUUGGUUUUCAUUUGGUUUGGUCAAACCUGACCCUGGUCAAUUGUGUUUAAGUUAUGGGCCAAAUUUUGGUCUGGAAUACAUGCUUAAUUGACAAGUUUAAUAAUUAGCCAACACAACUAAAGUUUUAAACAAAUAUCCUAAUGUGGACUAUUCAGCAAUAAUUAUUAUUCAAGCCAAAUUUUGGUAUGGACUACAUGCUUAAUUGUCAAGUUUACGAAUUAGCAAUCACAACUAAUGUUUUACACAAAUAUCCUAAUGUGGACUAUUAAGCAACAAUUAUUAUUCAGGAUUAUAUGAAUGUUCAGUGCAUUUUCUGUCAAAGACCAAUGAAUUAAAGUGACCAGAAAAGGAAACACAUCAACUAAUGCUUGACUUACAGAAAUAACCUAAUUCAGAAUACUUGGAAGUGAGAUAUGAGUAACAGAGAUUGGACACCCAAGAUAUAUAGGAAUAAAACAUAGACGUUACAAGCUAAUAUCACUAGUUAAGAGUUCAGAAGAGAAAAUUAGCCUAAUACAUGCAAAUAUAUUAAAUCAAAGUUACUAAAGAACUAUGACAGGUAUGAAACUCUUUAAGAUGAAAACAACUUCUCAGAAUCAUGAUGCAAUACAAGUAGGAUCCACAAGAUAAACAUUUACCAAAACUAAUCAGGAUAUCAGGGGGUGAAACAAAUGAAAAUCAAGAGAUGAGGAUCAACAAAAAAUGUAAAUUUCAGAGAUGAAACUAUGAGCCAUGUAAAGUUUUAGAGGUGAAAACAAACUGACAAGUCAAAAGGCAAAACAUAAUAUCAGACUAUCAUUGAAGAUGCAUUCCAACCAGUAACACCCAAAGAAUCAUUGAGUAUAACAAAAAAAUAUGACUACUUAUCAUACUUUAGGAUGAUAUUGUGGAAAACAAAUAAAAUCUUAAAGGAAACAACGCAAAUAAAAAAACAAUGAUAAGAACACAUAAUACUUAGCUUUUGUU
rnacentral:lncRNA from 1 species